UACAGAGGGUGCAAGCGUUGUUCGGAAUUAUUGGGCGUAAAGGGCGCGUAGGCGGCCUGUUAAGUCGGACGUGAAAUCCCUCGGCUCAACCGGGGAAUUGCGCCCUAAACUGCAAGGCUGGAGUGAGGUAGGGGUGUGUGGAACUUCUAGUGGAGCGGUGAAAUGUGUUGAUAUUAGAAGGAACGCCGGUGGCGAAAGCGACACACUGGACCUUGUCUGACGCUGAGGCACGAAAGCCAGGGGAGCAAACGGG
rnacentral:rRNA from 1 species